UUACGGUCGUAUCACGUUGAAACCCCGGUUCCCGUAGGAUGACCUAAGUUAACCGACGUCGAGCCUGGUUAGUAACUUCAUGGGUGAUCGCUUGGGAAUACCAGGUGCUGUAAA